AGAAGAAGAAGAAGAAGGAGAUCAAUUUGGAGCCAUUUUUCUCGAGGAGCAGAAGAAGAUGGAGCCAAGUGGCACAAUGAGAGGAAGUCAUUCUGGAACCGAUUUUCAAGACGUCAGGACAACACUGCUAACCUCAGAGUCGGCUAUUUAAAGAACUCUGACCCUGUAGAUUGUACCUCUUACUCCUCUAAACCACCUUUUCCAACACCAAAGAAUAAUCAAAGGCGAGCUGCUCCUUCAACACCAGA